rnacentral:rRNA from 1 species
AACGAACGCUGGCGGCAUGCCUAACACAUGCAAGUCGAACGAGACCUUCGGGUCUAGUGGCGCACGGGUGCGUAACGCGUGGGAACCUGCCCUUAGGUUCGGAAUAACUCCCCGAAAGGGGUGCUAAUACCGGAUAAUGUCUUCGGACCAAAGAUUUAUCGACUUUGGAUGGGCCCGCGUUGGAUUAGCUAGUUGGUAGGGUAAAAGCCUACCAAGGCGACGAUCCAUAGCUGGUCUGAGAGGAUGAUCAGCCACACUGGGACUGAGACACGGCCCAGACUCCUACGGGAGGCAGCAGUGGGGAAUAUUGGACAAUGGGCGAAAGCCUGAUCAAGCAAUGCCGCGUGAGUGAUGAAGGCCUUAGGGUUGUAAAGCUCUUUUACCCGGGAUGAUAAUGACAGUACCGGGAGAAUAAGCUCCGGCUAACUGCGUG